AGUACUUUCAUAAAAUACGUUAGAAUAAUAAAAUGUAGGCUAUACACUGCAUGAAAAGAGCUGUAUCCAGACAAAUACGGAUGGGAAAUCCCUGCUAAACUUUAGGUUUGCCAGAUAAAUGAGGCAGAGUGCUUGGAAACGUAAUUCUCAGAAGUAAACUCGUGAAACAUCCAGAAACCUUGUGUAUAUGGAUGUAUACUGGUGGAAGUUUCUAGGAAUCCUCACAGCUGGUUGUAAGGAGUGCUGGUUGUGAGGUGUGAAGGGUUAAUGACAGAGUUGCUGUCUCUGUUUUCAAAGCUGGGUGGGGGGUUCAAGGCAGCACAUAACAUAAAAACAUUAUAUAUCUACAAGUGUGUUUACUAAAUACAUGUAUUAUUAUGCUAAUGUAAUUUAAUUGAUAAAGGUUUUUUUUAUUUAAGAAAAUCUGAGCAUCACUCAAAAUAACUGUCAACAUGUUUGUCAACUAAACAUGUUUUGUAAACGUUAUACAUUUUAUAAAAAUAUUUUAUAUUUUUAUUAUUGAUAAAGUAUAAAGAACAAAUCAGUGUGAAAACGCAGAUUAUAAAAAGUACAUAAAGUGCCAGCAGAGGAUCCAAAAUAAUGAAAAAAAAAAAAACAUCCAAUGCAACUUGGAAAUUGUAGUCAAAAUACAUCUACAGCAGCAUGCUAAAGCAGUACCAACGCCAGGGCAAAAGACUCAAAUUCCCAGAAUGCACCUGCACCCACCCAUUCAUUCCCACCAAUCAGGAUCAACGGCAUUUUUCAAACCGCUACUGACUCGUUUUCAUGCUAAACAGUACGGCUGAGGUAAGUUUGACUUUCAUUCCUUUACAUCGCGCAGAUCUGUUCCAUAUUUGUUCCUAUUUUGUUCUUCACUGUGAUUAUUUUUGUCUUUAUGCGAGAAGUGUUUUAAUUUAAAGCACACACAGGAAACAUUAAGAAGGUCAUGUACCAUGUGGUCGACCUUGCUGACGCUGAAGAGGUUUCUGUGUAAAAAUGAUAUGCAGUGAGGGAGUGAUUCCCCAACAUCGAGGUGGCAGAGAUCCGGGACCUUCUACGGAGGAAGUGCAACAAUGCCAGUUACAAGGCCUCCAGUAGUUCAAAUCAGAGCUAGAUGUCCAUAUAGUACAAGUUGUUCGCAAUUGUUCUCUUCCCGGCAUUUCAAAGAAAGUCGACUGUUUAAGGUUCCCCAUUUUGCCAAUAUCUGUUUUGUGUGUUACUUUUGUGUCAUUAAUAAAGAUCCUUUUUUGAAAUGCAGUUUGUAAUCUGUUUGUGUGCAUUUGAACUGAAUUGUUAUAUUAUACACUUGUAGUGUAACAGCAAUAUUCAUGCUUAAGUAUAACAAA